GCCCGCUCAGAAACUCAAAUGAAUUGACGGGGGCCCGCACAAGCGGUGGAGCAUGUGGUUUAAUUCGAUGAUACGCGAGGAACCUUACCUGGGCUCAAAUGUAUGUUGACGUAUUCUGAAAGGGAUACUUCUUCGGACAAUAUACAAGGUGCUGCAUGGUUGUCGUCAGCUCGUGCCGUGAGGUGUCGGGUUAAGUCCCAUAACGAGCGCAACCCCUAUCAUUAGUUGCCAUCAGGUCAAGCUGGGGACUCUAAUGAAACUGCCUACGCAAGUAGUGAGGAAGGCGGGGAUGACGUCAAAUCAGCACGGCCCUUACGUCCAGGGCUACACACGUGCUACAAUGGCCGAUACAGAGGGCAGCUACCUGGUGACAGGAUGCAAAUCUCCAAAGUCGGUCUCAGUUCGGAUCGGAGUCUGCAACCCGACUCCGUGAAGUUGGAUUCGCUAGUAAUCGCGCAUCAGCCAUGGCGCGGUGAAUACGUUCCCGGGCCUU
rnacentral:rRNA from 1 species